UACGGGGGGAGCAAGCGUUGUUCGGAUUUACUGGGCGUAAAGGGCGCGUAGGCGGCCACUGCAAGUCAGUUGUGAAAUCUCCGGGCUUAACCCGGAAAGGUCAACUGAUACUGCAGGGCUAGAGUGCAGAAGGGGCAACUGGAAUUCCUGGUGUAGCGGUGAAAUGCGCAGAUAUCAGGAGGAACACCGGUGGCGAAGGCGGGUCUCUGGGCAACAACUGACGCUGAGGAGCGAAAGCGUGGGGAGCGAACAGG
rnacentral:rRNA from 1 species